rnacentral:lncRNA from 1 species
UUAUUUUGAUGAAUCUAUGGCUAGUAUUGGAGGUUAUGAACCAUAGAGAAGUUUGAAUAAAGUAGGUUUAACACCAAUAUAAAUAAAGAAUGAGUUCAUUACAGUACCUUAAAGUUUUGGUUUGUUUUCUUUCGCUAACGGAGCUCAUGAGAUUUUCUGUUAAGUUUUGUGUUGUGAAGUUUUCAAAUUUUGGGUAAAGAUUUGAUGGAUUAUGGAACAAGGAGUGGCAAGAGCCUAAGCUUGGGGAUGCCCAAGGCACCCCAAGGUAAAAUCCAAGGACAACCAAAAGCCUAAGCUUGGGGAUGCCCCAGAAGGCAUCCCCUCUUUUGUCUUCGUCCAUCGGUAACUUUACUUGAUGCUAUAUUUUUAUUCACCACAUGAUAUGUGUUUUGCUUGGAGCGUCUUGUAUGAUUUGAGUCUUUGCUUUUUAGUUCACCACAAUCAUCCUUGCUGUACACACCUUUUGGGAGAGACGGACAUUUAUCGGAAUUUAUUAGAAUACUCUAUGUGCUUCACUUAUAUCUUUUGAGCUAAAUAAUUUUGCUCUAGUGCUUCACUUAUAUCUUUUAGAGCACGGUGGUGGUUUUAUUUUAUAGAAAUUAUUGAUCUCUCAUGCUUCACUUAUAUUAUUUUGAGAGUCUUCUAGAACAACAUGGUAGUUUGCUUUGGCUAUAAAAUUAGUCCUAAUAUGAUAGGCAUCCAAGAUGGGUAUAAUAAAAACUAUCAUAUAAAAGUGCAUUGAAUACCAUGAGAAGUUUGAUACUUGAUGAUUGUUUUGACAUAUGAAGAUGGUGAUAUUAGAGUCAUGCUAGUUGAGUAGCUGUGGAUUAGAGAAAUACUUGUUCUAAAGUUUGUGAUUCCCGUAGCAUGCACGUAUGGUGAACCGUCAUGUGAUGAAGUCGGAGCAUGAUUUAUUUAUUGAUUGUCUUCCUUAUGAGCGGUGGUCAGGGACGAGCGAUGGUCUUAUCCUACCAAUCUAUCCCCCUAGGAGCAUGCGCGUAGUACUUUGUUUCGAUAACUAAUAGAUUUUUGCAAUAAGUAUGUGAGUUCUUUAUGACUAAUGUUGAGUCCAUGGAUUAUACGCACUCUCACCCUUCCACGAUUGCUAGCCUCUCUAAUACCGCGCACCUUUCGCCGGUAUCAUACACCCACCAUAUACCUUCCUCAAAACAGCCACCAUACCUACCUAUUAUGGCAUUCCAUAGCCAUUCCGAGAUAUAUUGCCAUGCAACUUACCACCGUUCCGUUUAUUAUGACACGCUUCACUAUUGUCAUAUUGCUUUGCAUGAUCAUGUAGUUGACAUCGUAUUUGUGGCAAAGACACCUUUAUAAUUCUUUCAUACAUGUCACUCUUGAUUCAUUGCAUAUCCCGGUACACCGCCAGAGGCAUUCACAUAGAGUCAUAUUUUGUUCUAAGUAUUGAGUUGUAAUCUUUGAGUUGUAAGUAAAUAAAAGUGUGAUGAUCAUCAUUAUUAGAGCAUUGCCCCAAGUGAGGAAAGGAUGAUGGAGACUAUGAUUCCCCCACAAGUCGGGAUGAGACUCCGGACGAAAAGAAAAAAAAGAAAAAAAAAGAGGCCAUAAAAAAAGGCCCAAAUAAAAAAAAUGAGAGGAAAAGAGAGAAGGGACAAUGUUACUAUCCAUUUUCCACACUUGUGCUUCAAAGUAGCACCAUGAUCUUCAUGAUAGAGAGUCUCCUAUGUUGUCACUUUCAUAUACUAGUGGGAAUUUUACAUUAUAGAACUUGGCUUGUAUAUUUCAAUGAUGGGCUUCCUCAAAAUGCCCUAGGUCUUCGUGAGCAAGCGAGUUGGAUGCACACCCACUUAGUUUCUUUUGUUGAGCUUUCAUACACUUAUAGCUCUAGUGCAUCCGUUGCGUGGCAAUCCCUACUCACUCACAUUGAUAUCUAUUAAUGGGCAUCUCCAUAGCCCAUUGAUACGCCUAGUUGAUGUGAGACUAUCUUCUCCUUUUUGUCUUCUCCACAACCACCAUUCUAUUCCAUGUAUAGUGCUAUGUCCAUGGCUCAUGCUCAUGUAUUGCGUGAAGAUUGAAAAGUUUGAGGACAUCAAAAGUAUGAAACAAUUUCUUGGCUUGUCAUCGGGGUUGUGCAUGAUUAAAUACUUUGUGUGAUGAAGAUAGAGCAUAGCCAGACUAUAUGAUUUUGUAGGGAUAACUUUCUUUGGCCAUGUUAUUUUGAGAAGACAUGAUUGCUUUGUUAGUAUGCUUGAAGUAUUAUUAUUUUCAUGUCAAUAUUAAAUUUUUGUCUUGAAUCUUUCGGAUCUGAACAUUCAUGCCACAAUAAAGGAAAUUACAUUGAAAAAUAUGCUAGGUAUCAUUCCACAUCAAAAAUUCUGUUUUUAUCAUUUACCUACUCGAGGACGAGCAGGAAUUAAGCUUGGGGAUGCUUGAUACGUCUCCAACGUAUCUAUAAUUUUUUAUUGUUCCAUGCUAUUAUACUAUCUGUUUUGGAUGUUUAAUGGGCUUUACUAAGUACUUUUGUAUUAUUUUUGGGACUAACCUACUAACUGAAGGCCCAGUGCAAAUUGCUGUUUUUUUGCCUAUUUCAGUGUUUCGCAGAAAAGGAAUAUCAAACGGAGUCCAAACGGAAUGAAUCCUUCGGGAGAGUUAUUUUUGGAAUAAACGUGAUCUAGAGGACUUGGAGUGGACGUCAAGAAAGAAGCGAGGAGGCCACGAGGCAGGGAGGCGCGCCCCGACCCUCGUGGGCCCCUCGCAGCUCCACUGACCUACUUCUUCCUCCUAUAUAUACCCAUAUACCCCGAAAACAUCCAGGAGCACCACGAAACCCUAUUUCACCGCCGCAACCUUCUGUACCCGUGAGAUCCCAUCUUGGGGCCUGUUCCGGCGCUCCGUCGGAGGGGGAAUCGAUCAUGGAUGGCUUCUACAUCAACACCAUAGCCUCUCCGAUGAUGUGUGAGUAGUUUACCUCAGACCUUCGGGUCCAUAGUUAUUAGCUAGAUGGCUUCUUCUCUCUCUUUGGAUCUCAAUAUAAAGUUCUCCUCGGUCUUCUUGGAGAUCUAUUCGAUGUAAAUCUUUUUUGCGGCGUGUUUGUCGAGAUCCGAUGAAUUGUGGGUUUAUGAUCAAGAUUAUCUAUGAAAAAUAUUUGAAUCUCCUCUGAAUUCUUUUAUGUAUGAUUUGUUAUCUUUGCAAGUCUCUUCGAAUUAUUAGUUUGGCUUGGCCUACUAGAUUGAUCUUUCUUGCAAUGGGAGAAGUGCUUAGCUUUGGAUUCAAUCUUGCGGUGCUCGAUCCCAGUGACAGCAGGGGAAACGACACGUAUUGUAUUGUUGCCAUCGAGGAUAAAAAUAUGGGGUUUAUAUCAUAUUGCUUGAGUUUAUCCCUCUACAUCAUGUCAUCUUGCCUAAUGCAUUACUAUGUUCUUAUGAACUUAAUACUCUAGAUGCAUGCUAGAUAGCGGUCGAUGUGUGGAGUAAUAGUAGUUGAUGCAGAAUCGUUUCGGUCUACUUGUCGCGGACGUGAUGCCUAUAUACAUGAUCAUGCCUAGAUAUUCUCAUAACUAUGCACUUUUCUAUCAAUUGCUCGAUAGUAUUUUUUUCACCCACCGUAAUACUUAUGCUAUCUUGAGAGAAGCCACUAGUGAAACCUGUGGCCCCGGGGUCUAUUUUCCAUCAUAUUAAUCUUCCAUCAACUAGCUAUUUCUGUCGCCGUUUAUUUUCCAAUAUUUACUUUUAAUCUUUAUCAUAAAAUUACCAAAAAUAUUAUCUUAUCAUCUCUAUCAGAUCUCACUUUUGCAAGUGGCCGUGAAGGGAUUGACAACCCCUUUAUCGCGUUGGUUGCAAGGUUCUUAUUUGUUUGUGUAGGUACGAGGGAUUGCGUGUGGCCUCCUACUGGAUUGAUACCUUGGUUCUCAAAAACUGAGGGAAAUACUUACGCUACUUUGCUGCAUCACCCUUUCCUCUUCAAGGGAAACCAACGCAUGCUCAAGAGGUAGCAAGCGUCUUGAUCUAUCUCUAUAGAUCUUGAUGCCCAAUAUAUAAGCAGCUUCACUGAUGUCUUUCAUUGAAAAACUCUUGUUCAAGUAUCUUUUUAUGCUAUCCAAAAAUUCUAUAUCAUUUCCAAUCAACAAUAUGUCAUCCACAUAUAAUAUUAGAAAUGCUACAGAGCUCCCACUCACUUUCUUGUAAAUACAGGCUUCUCCAAAAGUCUGUAUAAAACUGUAUACUUUGAUCACACUAUCAAAAUGUUUAUUCCAACUUCGAGAUGCUUGCACCAGUCCAUAAAUGGAUCGCUGGAGCUUGCACACUUUGUUAGCAUCCUUUGGAUCGAUAAAACCUUCUAGUUGCAUCAUAUACAACUCUUCUUCCAGAAAUCCAUUCAGGAAUGCAAUUUUUACAUCCAUUUGCCAAAUUUCAUAAUCAUAAAAUGCGGCAAUUGCUAACAUGAUUCGGACAGACUUAAGCAUCGCUACGGGUGAGAAGGUCUCAUCGUAGUCAAUUCCUUGAACUUGUCGAAAACCUUUCGCAACAAGCCGAGCUUUGAAGACAGUAACAUUACCGUCAGCGUCAGUCUUCUUCUUGAAGAUCCAUUUAUUUUCUAUGGCUUGCCGAUCAUCGGGCAAGUCAACCAAAGUCCACACUUUGUUCUCAUACAUGGAUCCCAUCUCAGAUUUCAUGGCCUCAAGCCAUUUCACGGAAUCUGGGCUCAUCAUCGCUUCCUCAUAGUUCGUAGGUUUGUCAUGGUCAAGUAACAUGACUUCCAGAACAGGAUUACGGUACCACUCUUGUGCGGAUCUUACUCUGGUUGACCUAUGAGGUUCGGUAGUAACUUGAUCAGAAGUUUCAUGAUCAUCAUCAUUAGCUUCCUCACUAAUUGGUGUAGGAAUCACUGGAACUAAUUUCUGUGAUGGACUACUUUCCAAUUCAGGAGAAGGUACAAUUACCUCAUCAAGUUCUACUUCUCUCCCACUCACUUCUUUCAAGAGAAACUCCUUCUCUAGAAAGGAUCCAUUCUUAGCAACGAAUAUCUUGCCUUCAGAUCUGUGAUAGAAGGUGUACCCAACAGUUUUCUUUGGGUAUCCUAUGAAGACACAUUUCUCCGAUUUGGGUUCGAGCUUAUCAGGUUGAAGCUUUUUCACAUAAGCAUCGCAGCCCCAAACUUUAAGAAACGACAACUUGGGUUUCUUGCCAAACCACAGUUCAUAAGGUGUCAUCUCAACGGAUUUAGAUGGUGCCCUAUGUAACGUGAAUGCAGCCGUCUCUAAAGCAUAACCCCUAAACAAUAGCGGUAAAUCAGUAAGGGACAUCAUAGAUUGCACCAUAUCUAAUAAAGCGCGGUUACGACGUUUGGACACUAUUACGCUGUGGUGUUUCGGGUGGCGUGAGUUGCGAAACUAGUCCGCGUUGUUUCAAAUGAAGACCAAACUCGUAACUCAAGUAUUCUCCUCCACGAUCAGAUCGCAGAAACUUUAUUUUCUUGUUACGAUGAUUUUCCACUUCACUCUGAAAUUCUUUGAACUUUUCAAAUGUUUCAGACUUAUGUUUCAUCAAGUAGAUAUACCCAUAUCUGCUUAAAUCAUCUGUGAAGGUCAGAAAAUAACGAUACCCGCCAUGAGCCUCAAUAUUCAUCGGACCGCAUACAUCAGUAUGUAUUAUUUCCAAUAAAUCUUUUGCUCACUCCAUUGUUCCGGAGAACGGAGUUUUAGUCAUCUUGCCCAUGAGGCAUGGUUCGCAAGUACCAAGUGAUUCAUAAUCAAGUGAUUCCAAAAGUCCAUCAGUAUGGAGUUUCUUCAUGCGCUUUACACCAAUAUGACCCAAACGGCAGUGCCACAAAUAAGUUGCACUAUCAUUAUCAACUCUGCAUCUUUUGGCUUCAAUAUUAUGAAUAUGUGUAUCACUACUAUCGAGAUUCAAUAAAAAUAGACCACUCUUCAAGGGUGCAUGACCAUAAAAGAUAUUACUCAUAUAAAUAGAACAACCAUUAUUCUCAUAUUUAAAUGAAUAACCGUCUCACAUCAAACAAGAUCCAGAUAUAAUGUUCAUGCUUAACACUGGCACCAAAUAACAAUUAUUCAGGUCUAAAACUAAUCCCGAAGGUAGAUGUAGAGGUAGCGUGUCGACAACGAUCACAUCGACUUUGGAACCAUUUCCCACGCGCAUCGUCACCUCGUCCUUAGCCAAUCUUCGCUUAAUCCGUAGUCCCUGUUUCGAGUUGCAAAUAUUAGCAACAGAACCAGUAUCAAAUACCCAGGCACUACUGCGAGCAUUAGUAAGGUACACAUCAAUAACAUGCAUAUCACAUAUACCUUUGUUCACUUUGCCAUCCUUCUUAUCCGCCAAAUACUUGGGGCAGUUCCGCUUCCAGUGACCAGUCCCUUUGCAGUAGAAGCACUCAGUCUCAGGCUUAGGUCUAGACUUGGGCUUCUUCACUUGAGCAGCAACUUGCUUGUCGUUCUUCUUGAAGUUCCCCUUCUUCCCUUUGCCCUUUUUCUUGAAACUGGUGGUCUUGUUGACCAUCAACACUUGAUGCUCCUUCUUGAUUUCUACCGCCGCAGCCUUUAGCAUCGCGAAGAGCUCGGGAAUUAUCUUAUCCAUCCCUUGCAUAUUAUAGUUCAUCACAAAGCUUUUCUAGCUUGGUGGCAGUGAUUGAAGAACUCUAUCAAUGACACUAUCAACCGGAAGAUUAACUCCCAGCUGAGUCAAGUGAUUAUGAUACCCAGACAUUUUGAGUAUAUGUUCACUGACAGAACUAUUCUCCUCCAUUUUACAGCUGUAGAACUUAUUGGAGACUUCAUAUCUCUCAAUCCGGGCAUUUGCUUGAGAUAUUAACUUCAACUCCUAGAACAUCUCAUAUGCUCCAUGACGUUCAAAACGUCGUUGAAGUCCUGGUUCUAAGCUGUAAAGCAUGGCACACUGAACUAUCGAGUAGUCAUCAGCUUUGCUCUGCCAGGCGUUCACAACGUCCGGCGUUGCUCCUGCAGCGGUGCUUCCAGGACGUAAUUCUUCUGUGCAGCAAUGAGGAUAAUCCUCAAGUUACGGACCCAGUCCGUGUAAUUGCUACCAUCAUCUUUCAACUUAGCUUUCUCUAGGAACGCAUUAAAAUUCAAAGGAACAGUAGCACAGGCCAUUGAUCUACAACAACAUAGACAUGCAAAAUACUAUCAGGUACUAAGUUCAUGAUAAAUUAAAGUUCAUUUAAUUAUAUUACCUAAGAACUCCCACUUAGAUAAACAUCCCUCUAAUCAUCUAAGUGAUCACGUGAUCCAAAUCAACUAAACCAUGUCCGAUCAUCACGUGAGAUGGAGUAGUUUUCAAUGGUGAACAUCACUAUGUUGAUCAUAUCUACUAUAUGAUUCACGCUCGACCUUUUGGUCUCGGUGUUCCGAGGCCAUAUCUGCAUAUGCUAGGCUCGUCAAGUUUAACCCGAGUAUUCUGCGUGUGCAAAACUGGCUUGCACCUGUUGUAUGUGAACGUAGAGCUUAUCACACCCGAUCAUCACGUGGUGUCUCGGCACGACGAACUGUCGCAAUGGUGCAUACUCAGGGAGAACACUUAUACCUUGAAAUUUAGUGAGAGGUCAUCUUAUAAUGCUACCGCCGAACUAAGCAAAAUAAGAUGCAUAAAGGAUAAACAUCACAUGCAAUCAAUAUAAGUGAUAUGAUAUGGCCAUCAUCAUCUUGUGACUUUGAUCUCCAUCUCCAAAGCACCGUCAUGAUCACCAUCGUCACCGGCUUGACACCUUGAUCUCCAUCGAAGCAUCGUUGUCGUCUCGCCAACUAUUGCUAUCACGACUAUCGCUACCGCUUAGUGAUAAAGUAAAGCAAUUACAUGGCGAUUGCAUUUCAUAAAAUAAAGCGACAACCAUAAGGCUCCUGCUUGUUGCCGAUAACUGUUACAAAACAUGAUCAUCUCAUACAACAAUUUAUAUAUCAUCAUGUCUUGACCAUAUCACAUCACAACAUAAAAACAAGUUAGACGUCCUCUACUUUUUGUUGCAAAUUUAACGUGGAUGCUACGAGUUUAGCAAGAACCGUUCUUACCUACGCAUCAAAAAUCACAACGAUUUUUGUCAAGUGUGCUGUUUUAACCUUCAACAAGGACCAGGCGUAGUCACACUCGAUUCAACUAAAGUUGGAGAAACAGACACGCACUAGCCACCUAUGUGCGAAGCACGGCGGUAGAACCAGUCUCAUGAACGCGGUCAUGUGAUGUCGGUCUGGGCCGCUUCAUCCAACAGUACCGCCGAAUCAAAGUAUGACAUGCUGGUAAGCAGUAUGACUAUUAUCGCCCACAACUCUUUGUGUUCUACUCGUGCAUAUAACAUCUACGCAUAGACCUGGCUCGGAUGCCACUGUUGGGGAACACACUAUUUCAAAAAAUUUAGUACGAUCACGCAAGUUUUAUCUAGGAGAUGCAUAGCAAUGAGCGGGGAGAGUGUGUCCACGUACCCUCGUAGACCGAAAGCGGAAGCGUUAAGUAACGCGGUUGAUGUAGUCGAACGUCUUCGCGAUCCAACCGAUCAAGUACCGAAUGCACGGCACCUCAGCGAUCUGCACACGUUCAGCUCAGUGAAGUCCCUCGAACUCUUGAUCCAGCUGAGGCCGGGGGAGAGUUUCGUCAGCACGACGGCGUGAUGACGGUGAUGAUGAAGUUACCGACGCAGGGCUUCGCCUAAGCACUACAAUGAUAUGACCGAGGUGGAAAUAUGUGGAGAGGGGCACCGCACACGGCUCAAACAAUAACUUGUGUGUCUAUGGGGUGCCUCCUCCCCCGUAUAUAAAGGAGGGGAGGAGGGGGCCGGACGGCCUCAUGGUGCGCCCCAAGGGGGGGGAAUCCUACUCCUACUAGGAGUAGCUUCCCCCCUUUCCUAGUCCUAAUAGGAGGGGGAAGGAAGGGGAAGAGGGGAGGAAGGAAAGGGGGGCCGGCCCCCUUCCCAAUUCGGAUUGGGUUGGGGGGGGGGCGUCCCUCCUCUUGGCCUUCUUCUCUCUCUUCCACUAAAGCCCAUGUAGGCCCAUUAAGCCCCGGGGGUUCCAGUAACCCCCCGGUACUUCGGAAAAUGCCCGAACUCAUCCGAAACCUUUCCGGUGUCCAAACAUAGCCUUCCAAUAUAUCGAUCUUUAUGUCUCAACCAUUUCAAGACUCCUCGUCAUGUCCAUGAUCAUAUCCGAGACUCUGAACAACCUUCGGUACAUCAAAACACAUAAACUCAUAAUACCAAUCGUCAUCGAAUGUUAAGCGUGCCGGACCUACGGGUUCGAGAACUAUGUAGACAUGACCGAGACUCAUCUCCGGUCAAUGACCAAUAGCGGAACCUGGAUGCUCAUAUUGGCUCCCACAUAUUCUACGAAGAUCUUUAUCGGUGAAACCGCAUAACAACAUAUGUUGUUCCCUUUGUCAUCGGUAUGUUACUUGCCCGAGGUUCGAUCGUCGGUAUCUCAAUACCUAGUUCAAUCUCGUUACCAGCAAGUCUCUUUUCUCGUUCCGUAAUGCAUCAUCCCACAACUAACUCAUUAGUCACAUUGCUUGCAAGGCUUAUAGUGAUGUGCAUUACCGAGAGGGCCCAGAGAUACCUCUCCGACAAUCGGAGUGACAAAUCCUAAUCUCGAUCUAUGCCAGCUCAACAAACACCAUCGGAGACACCUGUAGAGCAUGUUUAUAAUCACACAGUUACAUUGUGAUGUUUGAUAGCACACUAAGUGUUCCUCCAGUAUUCAGGAGUUGCAUAAUCUCAUAGUCAUAGGAACAUGUAUAAGUCAUGAAGAAAGCAAUAGCAACAAACUAAACGAUCAUCGUGCUAAGCUAAUGGACGGGUCAUGUCAAUCACAUCAUUCUCUAAUGAUGUGAUCCCGUUAAUCAAAUGACAUCUCAUGUCUAUGGAUAGGAAACUUUAACCAUCUUUGAUUAACGAGCUAGUCAAGUAGAGGCAUACUAGUGACACUAUGUUUGUCUAUGUAUUCACACAUGUACUAAGUUUACGGUUAAUACAAUUCUAGCAUGAAUAAUAAACAUUUGUCAUGAUAUAAGGAAAUAUAAAUAACAACUUUAUUAUUGCCUCUAGGGCAUAUUUCCUUCACAUUCAACUAAUUAGAUCAGUUUGUUAACUAGAACGUGUUAUUGGAAAAAAACACAGAUCAAUUGUCAGCAGUCAGCACUUGAAAUGUGGGAUGCAUUAGAAGUCGUUGCUGUUAUUGUUAUAAUUAUUAAUCUCAAAAAGUAUACCUACUGUCUCACAUGUUUACUGAUACACGAUUUUUCUUUGCGUCUUCUCGUGCUGCAGGAUGGAAUUGGAACCAAACUUGGUAUUUUGAAAUAAUUUUCUGUUGUAAGUUGCAUAUCCUAAACAGUAAUUUAUGACAUUUCGUUUUCAUGCUUGAUGUAAAGUUCAGUGUUUCUUUCAUUCUGUUUCAUGGUAAUGAUGCGUUGGAUAUGUUUGAGUGAAUGGAGGAAUCUGAGAACACAUAAUGAUUUAACCUUACCCUGUUAAAUGCUUACAUGCAUGUUCAUUCUAUUCAACUAAAGAUAGCCACGAUUAUAGGGAUAUUAUCUUUCUACAAACAUGUUUGCGCGUAGAUAUAAACAUGAUUCUCACCACCCUUCCUAAUUCGUAAUGCAAAUACUUGACUAAUGUUGGAUCUUGCAUAUGCAAUGAAUACUAAUGAAGGCCAUGUGCCUUUCUUAUUUCAUGCACUCUUUGCCCAGUUACCUACUUAGAGUUUCAGUUCGCUGCACAAUUAUCGUGCCACUGAAAUAUGUAAUGUGAAACCCGCUCCCAUCUGUUCUCAUUUUAUAAGAGUGUAAAUUUUUAUAUAACAGAACCCUUCCAGGUGUUAGAUUUAUAGUUAAUUACUACUUAGUUUACUAUUCAGGAUGUUCCCACAUUUUUCUUGGGUACAAUUAAUAAUUUUCAUUCUUUAUGCAGGUUUGGAGAUGACACGUACUAAAAAUCUACUUAUUUUCUCUUGUCGUUUUUUGUAGUUAAUUCAAGGAGGACCCUACAUCUAAAGGUAAUAGAGCAGUUUAUAUCAAAAUUACAUUGCUGGAUUUCUAGAAGAAUGAAAAAGGGAGAAAUGGUAGUUUCAUUUGGUGUGCGAAUCUGGUUUAAAGUGUGCCUGCUUAUAUCUAGAAGAUCUUGGUUGCAAAAGUAUUAUCGGGAAGAUCUUGGUUGCAAAAGUGAUCAGAUAUACUCCUCUGUACCAAAAUAUAAGACGUUUUUUCAGUUCAAUUGAACUGCAAAAAUAUCUUAUACUUUCGUACGGAGGGAGUAAUAGUCAACACAACCAGGUUGGUUCUAUAAUUAAAUGCCUAGUUAAGAUCUUGUAAUUUUGAAUCAAAUAGUUUGACUACACAAAGAAUUAUAUUUACUUUGUGUAAGAUCUUGUAAUUCUGAAUCAAGUUAAUUCUAAAUCAAAUAUUUUGUCUACUAUUCUAUAUAUAAUAAAUAGAGCACAAAGAAUGAUAUUUUCUUUGUCAGCAUAUAUAGGUCUUAAGUAGCAAAGCUGGGCAUUGUACAUAAUUUUGUUUUGCUUUGGAUUUCAAUUAACUUGGAAUUGGGGGAGAAGUUACGGUUCAUGUCUACAAGGUUGGAACGUUGAGAUAUUAGGAACUGUGCAUUAGUACUCCCCGUGAAAAACCGACCAGCAGGGAAUGUGAAUAGCCCACGAACUCUAGAUGUUUUGAUGGGUUUGUAUUUGAAUUUCUGUGUAUUGAUAGAAGUUUAAAGAAAUAUGGAUAACAGUACGCACAUCAUCAAUACACACAUGCACUCACACAUGGUCGGUGCCACCACUAUCCUAACCAUUUAACUACUGGUUGGUUUUAAUAACAUUUUUCCCAGGCGGGGGCACAUGCCAUUUUUUCUCCUUCACCAUGGACCCUGAUUUUGCUGAACUCUGGGCGUGUCGAUGGGCUGCUCAGCUUACACGUGAACUGGACAUGGCAAAGCUUAUCCUGGAGACGAACUCAAAGCUAUGAAAAUUCAUGUAUACUGAUUAUCGAACAAUAUGGUAUGUUUUCCAUGAGACUCAAUUUGUUAUGUCCAGAUGCAUGGCUUUCAGAAUAAAUGCAGACUGUAUGUUUACUCAUUGUCGUGAUCUUUGUAUAUCUGUAACUACACCCUACAGCCUGAGCCACUUGACGACCAACCUGCAAUUAGAUGUUACAAAUAUAGAUGCAAUAUGUUAAUUCUAAGGUGGCAUCAAAUUCGUAAUAAUUCAUACCUGAAAUAAAAUUGUGAUUUAUUCGCUAUCUUACUAUCAUAUCCGCGUCGAGCACAACCGAACGCCUCUAUGUCCAGUGAGGCCAACUAUCCAGAAUCCUCCCACCAUCUUAAAUCCAUUGGUGUCUUUCUGUUAAAGGCUUUGUUCUAUGUAUAUACUGAAAUUGGCAAAGCCAAACUUUUAAUCUGGAAAUAUCACUUUAUAGUACUUUGGUCUGUAAAUGUGUUGUGUUGUCGUAUUUUAAAGACGCGGUUUGUAUUGGAAAAGAUUACAUUAAAGAUGGUGUCGAUCCUGAUGACGGGCUGCCUUGCAGGGCAAGGGACGGGGGUACAAGGCAUGGGUAUGCGGCGCCGCACCUUGUUGUUCCCUGCCGGUGGCGAGCGAGCUGCGGCAGUGCUUCUCUGUUGCUUGGCGAGGGACGGGGGCGGAAGGCGUGCAUCUGCAGUGCCACUCCUGGGGCAUGCCUCUCCGGCGACAUUGCCGGCGUACACAACAUACCUUACUACACGGGGAUUUCAUCUCUGAACUAAAUAUUACGUCAGAACUGAAUAUUACGUCCGAAGACUGAAACAUCCAGAAAGCUUAUUGAGACUAUUCAUUGAUGGUCUUUCUCUACUACACGAGGAAGGUAAUUGUCUUUUAUGUGCUUAUUUUUCCAUUUCAAUGUACCUUGUGUUAUUUCGGUUGAAAAAUUAAAGUUUCUACAUAUUUUCAUCGUUUAUGAAAAGUAGCUGAGAUCUGUUGUUUUAUUCCUACUUAUUGAGGAAAUUUCUGUGAAGCUAAAGUUGGUUUGUUCAUCUUUUUUUCUACAAUUUAGUACUCUUGACAUAGUUGCUAAAAUUAUCUUUUGAAAAGAUCAGUGUAGUAGUGCAGGCUAACAAAACCGUAUUUUCUACAGGCCUGAGGUAGACAAACAUAACAACUGAUGAAAGAAGAACAUAUUUGUACCUUGUUGCCCGCUGCCUAUAAACAGAAGAACAUUGAAGCACUCGUUACUGCAUUAUAUAUUUUAGUUGCAAUAGUAUUUGAUUUUGCAUGAAGAAAUAUGCUGAGUGUUUCUUCAUUCAGUUUUAUGUGCCAAUUAGGCAUGGACAACGACGGCCAUGAUCCCAUCAUCACAAGCUCACUGGUAGGAGACACACAUCUCAUCCAGUGGAAAAGCACGCUCCAAAAAAUCCCUAUCCCUCUGAUACGUCUCCAACGUAUCUAUAAUUUUUGAUUGUUCCAUGCUAUAAUAUUAUCUGUUUUGGAUGUUUAUGGGCUUUAUUAAACACUUUUAUAUUAUUUUUGGGACUAACCUAUUAACCCACAGCCCAGUGCCAGUUUCUGUUUUCCCCUUGUUUCGGUGUUUCACAGAAAAGGAAUAUCAAACGGAGUCCAAAUGGAAUGAAACCUUCGGGAGAGUUAUUUUUGGAACGGAAGCAAUCCAGGAGACUUGGAGUGUACGUCAGGGAAGCAACAAGGUGGCCACGAGGCAGGGAGACGCGCCUGCCCCCCUGGGCGCGCCCCCACCCUCGUGGGCCCCUCGUGACUCCCCUGACUGACUUCUUUCGCCUAUAUAUAUAUAUAUCCAUAUACCCUAAAAAAAUCGAGGGACAGAAUAGACCGGGAGUUCCGCUGCCGCAAGCCUCUGUAGCCACCAAAAACCAAUCGGGACCCUGUUCCGGCACCCUGCCGGAGGGGGGAACCCUCACCGGUGGCCAUCUUCAUCAUCCCGGCGCUCUCCAUGACAAGGAGGGAGUAGUUCACCCUCGGGGCUGAGGGUAUGUACCAGUAGCUAUGUGUUUGAUCUCUCUCUCGUGUUCUUGAGGUGGUACGAUCUUGAUGUAUCGCGAGCUUUGCUAUUAUAGUUGGAUCUUAUGAUGUUUCUCCCCCUCUACUCUCUUGUAAUGGAUUGAGUUUUCCCUUUGAAGUUAUCUUAUCGGCUUGAGUCUUUAAGGAUUUGAGAACACUUGAUGUAUGUCUUGCAUGUGCUUAUCUGUGGUGACAAUGGGAUAUCACGUGAUUCACUUGAUUUAUGUUUUGGUGAUCAACUUGCGGGUUCCGUGACCUCGUGAACUUAUGCAUAGGUGUUGGCACACGUUUUUGUCUUGACUCUCCGGUAGAAACUUUGGGGCACUCUUUGAAGUACUUUGUGUUGGUUGAAUAGAUGAAUCUGAGAUUGUGUGAUACAUAUCAUAUAAUCAUACUCGCGGAUACUUGAGGUGACAUUGGAGUAUCUAGGUGAUAUUAGGGUUUUGGUUGAUUUGUGUCUUAAGGUGUUAUUCUAGUACGAACUCUAUGAUAGAUUGAACGGAAAGAAUAGCUUCGUGUUAUUUUACUACGGACUCUUGAAUAGAUCGAUCAGAAAGGAUAACUUUGAGGUGGUUUCGUACCCUACCAUAAUCUCUUCGUUUGUUCUCCGCUAUUAGUGACUUUGGAGUGACUCUUUGUUGCAUGUUGAGGGAUAGUUAUAUGAUCCAAUUAUGUUAUUAUUGUUGAGAGAACUUGCACUAGUGAAAGUAUGAACCCUAGGCCUUGUUUCCUAGCAUUGCAAUACCGUUUGUGCUCACUUUUAUCAUUAGUUACCUUGCUGUUUUUAUAUUUUCAGAUUACAAAAACCUAUAUCUACCAUCCAUAUUGCACUUGUAUCACCAUCUCUUCGCCGAACUAGUGCACCUAUACAAUUUACCAUUGUAUUGGGUGUGUUGGGGACACAAGAGACUCUUUGUUAUUUGGUUGCAGGGUUGCUUGAGAGAGACCAUCUUCAUCCUACGCCUCCCACGGAUUGAUAAACCUUAGGUCAUCCACUUGAGGGAAAUUUGCUACUGUCCUACAAACCUCUGCACUUGGAGGCCCAACAACGUCUACAAGAAGAAGGUUGCGUAGUAGAUAUCAAGCUCUUUUCUGGUGCCGUUGUCGGGGAGGUGAGUGCUUGAAGGUAUAUCUUUAGAUCUUGCAACCGAAUCUUUUAGUUUCUUGUUUUAUCACUAGUUUAGUCUGUAAAAGAAAACUACAAAAAAAUGGAAUUGAGUUUGCCUCAUAUGCUUCAUCUUUUUAAUGUCUUUCGUGAAAAUGAUGGGAAGGGAAAAUUGUGCUCAAGUACUAGAAGAAGAAUUACAUAGAAUGCUUGGCAUAAAAUAUGUGGAUGAUGAGCAUGAUUGCAAUGUUGUUAGUAUGAAUUCUUUGAAUACCCAUGAUGCUAAUGAUUUGCAAAGCCACAAGCUUGGGGAUGCUAUGUUUGAUGAAGAUGAUAUGUUUAGUCCCCCAAGUUUUGAUGAGCAAAUUUAUUAUGAUGAAAGCAUGCCUCCUAUUUAUGAUGAUUAUUGUGAUGACACGUAUGCUAUAAAGAAUAAAGAUAACCAUGAAACUUAUCAUCAUGAUUUUAAUUUUCAAUUGGAUUAUGCUUCACAUGAUAGUUAUUUUGUUGAGUUUGCUCCCACUACUAUUGAUGAUAAUACAUUUGCUUAUGUGGAGAGUAGUAAAAUUUCUAUGCAAGUAGAUCAUGAAAAGAAUUCUUUAGGUGCUGGUUAUAUUGUUGAAUUCAUUCAUGAUGCUACUCAAAAUUAUUAUGAGGGAUGAAUAUAUGCUUGUAGGAAUUGCAAUAAUAUCAAGUUUCCUCUCUAUGCGCUUAAAGUUUUGAAGUUAUGCUUGUUUUGCCUUCCUAUGCUAGUUGAUUAUCGUUCUCAUAAGUUGUUUGCUCACAAAAUCCCUAUGCAUAAGAAGUGGGUUAGACUUAAAUGUGCUAGUCGUAUUCUUCAUGAUGCUCUCUUUAUGUUUCAAUCUUAUCUUUUAUGUGAGCAUCAUUGAAAUCAUCAUGCCUAGCUAGGGGCGUUAAACGUUAGCGCUUGUUGGGAGGCAACCCAAUUUUAUUUUUAUUUUUUUAUUUUUGCUCCUGUUUAGCAAUAAAUAAUCUAUCUAGCCUCUGGUUAGAUGUGGUUUUAUGUUUUAAUUAGUGUUUGUGCCAAGUUAAACCUAUAGGAUCUUCUUGAUUGAUAGUUGUUUGAUCUUGCUGAAAAUUCCAGAAACUUUCUGUUCACGAAAACAAUUGUUAAAAAUUACCAGAACGUGAUAUAAUAUUGAUUCCAAUUGCAGAAGAUCAAUAAACAAAUUAUUUAGGACGUCCUAUUUUGGCAGAAGUUUUAGAGUUCCAGAAGUUUGCGUUAGUUACAGAUUACUACAGACUGUUCUGUUUUUGACAGAUUCUGUUUUUAGUGUGUUGUUUGCUUAUUUUGAUGAAUCUAUGGCUAGUAAAAGAGUUUAUAAACAAUAGAGAAGUUGGAAUACAGUAAGUUUAACACCAAUAUAAAUAAAGAAUGAGUUCAUUACAGUACCAUGAAGUGGUGUUUUGUUUUCUUUUGCUAACGGAGCUCACGAGAUUUUCUGUUAAGUUUUGUGUUGUGAAGUUUUCAAGUUUUGGGUAAAGAUUCGAUGGACUAUGGAAUAAGGAGUGGCAAGAUCCUAAGCUUGGGGAUUCCCAAGGCACCCCAAGGUAAAUCCAAGGACACCAAAAAGCCAAAGCUUAGGGAUGCCCCGGAAGGCAUCCCCUCUUUCGUCCUCACCCAUCGGUAAAUUUACUUGGAGCUAUAUUUUUAUUCACCACAUGAUAUGUGUUUUGCUUGGAGCGUCAUUUUAUUUUCUUUUGUUUUGCUUGCUGUUUGAAUAAAAUACCAAGAUCUUAAAUUCUUAAAUGUUAGAGAGUCUUCACAUAGUUGCACAAUUAUUCUACUACUCAUUGAUCUUCACUUAUAUCUUUUGGAGUAGUUUGUCAUUUGCUCUAGUGCUUCACUUAUAUCCUUUUAGAGCACGACGGUGGUUUUAUUUUGAAGAAAUAGAUGAACUCUCAUGCUUCACUUAUAUUAUUUUGAGAGUCUUAAACAGCAUGGUAAUUUUCUUUGGUUAUGAAUUUAGUCCUAAUAUGAUGGGCAUCCAAGAGGGAUAUAAUAAAAACUUUCAUUUAAAGUGCAUUGAAUAUUAUGAGAAGUUUGAUUCCUUAUGAUUGUUUUGAGAUAUGAAGAUGGUG